rnacentral:rRNA from 1 species
GCUACACAUGCAGUCGAACGAUGAAGCUCGGAGCUUGCUCUGGUGGAUUAGUGGCGAACGGGUGAGUAACACGUGAGUAACCUGCCCUUGACUCUGGAAUAAGCGUUGGAAACGACGUCUAAUACCGGAUACGAGCUUCCGCCGCAUGGNGAGGAGCUGGAAAGAAUUUCGGUCAAGGAUGGACUCGCGGCCUAUCAGGUAGUUGGUGAGGUAAUGGCUCACCAAGCCUACGACGGGUAGCCGGCCUGAGAGGGUGACCGGCCACACUGGAACUGAGACACGGUCCAGACUCCUACGGGAGGCAGCAGUGGGGAAUAUUGCACAAUGGGCGCAAGCCUGAUGCAGCAACGCCGCGUGAGGGACGACGGCCUUCGGGUUGUAAACCUCUUUUAGUAGGGAAGAAGCGAAAGUGACG